AAAAACGCCCCAGUUCCACUCAUGAGAAAGAGAAUCAUACAGCUCAGUUAACUGAACACUCAGAAGGAAAAUCCAAUUCAUUUGAUUCCAUAGGGUCUCCACUUUGUCAUACGUGUUUGGAACAGUAUGAAAAGAGUCCUAUUCAUGGCUAGUUUUGGACUCACCAAGCCACGGCUGGGUGACAACAGAAGAGGAAUCCCGAACAUUGUCCAAAUGGCAAAGACGAUUGCCUGGCACAUUUGCCCGAAGCCCAGCCAAUGGAAAUCUGAAUUUCCUCAACCUCCUUUCUCUAGCCUAUUUCUGUAACAUUGCGGCAGCUUCCUGGAGACUGACAGAGAAUCAGCAGCUCCUAGUAUCAGAAGGCACAUUUAGGGGUGGCUUUGAAUACACCGAAGCAAUUUUGAGCAAGCAGAAGGCUCCAAUUAAAAGGAAAGGACAGAGAGCAGCAAGCUGUUCAAGUCAAACCGAACGACUGCACACCCUCCGCAAGGCAGUUGGAAGGAAUCGUGCUUUACCUCACUGCUGCUGCGUUCCUCCUUGCCUGUCAGCAAGCCAAGGGAUCCCCCCAAAGCUCUUACGUAGGAGAUACCAAAACUGUGAGUCACUUUUCAAUCCCAGAGCAGAGGACGUCCACUGCAUUUUGCACGUAACAGCAGAGCCAAGAUGGGGGUUCCCUCCAAGCCACCAAGAUGAGGUUUCGGGAACCAGAUGUCCAGCCAGCCCUCGCUUCUUUUUUCUUGCUGUUGCUCCCUCUUUCUCUUCCACCCUUGACCAUGCCUUCGUCUGGAAGCGCUCUUCUCUGUUCCUCUUCCUCUCUCUGUUGCCGACAGCCGCAGACCCAGCCAGAGCUGGGUCCCUCUCGCCUUCUGUUAGUUUUCUUCCCCUGCAGCAGCCUUGGGCUGCUACCUCUGCGAGCUGGAUCACCAAAGACACACGACUCACUCACAAUGAAUAAUCAAUACGGAUAUUGAUCUGGGGAAAAUGUUUGUAAAUUCCUGAAAGGGAAUCAGGAGCAGGGGGCAGGGAGGCUCGUGGGGGACGACGCUGCAGUGUGCUCCGCCGCGGAAGGAAGCAGAACCUCUUUUGGAUCCCCAAGUUUUGCUGGCUCCAAGGUGACGGUACCGGAAUGCGUGCGGAUGGACGAGGGCGUGCGCGUGUGAGGAGGGCGUGCUGUCUUCUCAUUUCUCUACAGCUGCUUUCCCCGAAGAAUCAAGAGCCAAAUGGUCGGGAGCCCCCGUCAGCGCCAUGUCUUGGCUGCGGGCCAGCACUGUUUUGUUUUCAUUAUCACACGCUACUUUGCAAUUUGCAUAAAUACAGGGUUAUUUUUUAUCGUGUCGCCCAAAAGAUAGAAAAAAAAAAAAUAGAAGUCUUUGUUGUGUGCAAGAGGGGCUUGCUGCCUACUCAUCAGGGCUAAGGAUUUACCUCCGAGGCAGGGCUUUGGAGCCGAUGUAGAGGGCUCCAGGAGAAAUACGGGCAAAGAAGUUGUAAUCACAGAGAGAAAAGAAUACAGGAGAGAAAAAAAGAAUUUAAUGAAAACUGCGGGGCACUCAGCUUGGGAAAGCCAAGUAUUAGGGACCCAUUUUCCUUGGCGGAGAAGUGGUAGGGACUUAGACAAGCAAGUAGAGGUAUCUAGCCAGUGACCUGGUUAGAGGCAUUACGUGCUUUCUGCGGGAAUGAACCACUGAUCUAUGGGGGGAGAGGCGUGCGGGCCAGUGAACACGCACUGGCUUUAACCUCAUGUCCAUCUAAAAUGUAGGAAAACUGGGCACAGAUGGAGCCGUCUCUCUCAGCUGCCUUAGCCUGAUGGUUUUCCUGCAGCACAGAGGGUUCGCUCCUGGUCUUUUCUUUACCUUCCCUGCAGCUUCACCUGAUCAGCUAAGCUCCCUGAAUUGCACCCAGCAAUCAUAGAAUGGGAUUUGCAACCUCCCCUUAACUCUCUCUUCUUCAGGAAAGUGGGCACAAAAGCUCUGUAAGCUGCGGCUUUCUCUUGCAUACUCUCCUCGGCUGUGGACAUGAGGCCUCAGACUCCCGAAGUCACGCCCCAAACAGAUGUAGAGCACACUCGUCUUAGAAAAACACUCCAGCUCUCUAGGCCACUGGGUGGUGGGCACCCUCCCAGCCGUGGCCUCUGAGCCUUUCUUCUCGUCCUCCUCACUCUGCUUUUGCAAUCUGGUAAUAAAAUAUCUCUGGGACCAUUCUACGCUUUCUCUCAUUGCUGUACCUCUUCCUGGCCUGGUGACAGAGGAGAUGUGUCCUCACCUUGGAGAUACCCAUCUAGAGUAGGACCUCCGUGUGAGGAUUCAAUUCCAACACCUCCUAUCCUAAAAGGAGCUGUCCACCUUAUCAGCCAGUAGCAGCAGCAGGAGCACUGGGAGCCCCCACCC
ensembl:lncRNA